rnacentral:rRNA from 1 species
AUUGAACGCUGGCGGCAUGCUUUACACAUGCAAGUCGAACGGUAACAGGGUGCUUGCACCGCUGACGAGUGGCGAACGGGUGAGUAAUGCGUCGGAACGUGCCGAGUAGUGGGGGAUAACGCAGCGAAAGUUGUGCUAAUACCGCAUACGUACUGAGGUAGAAAGUGGGGGACCUUUGGGCCUCACGCUAUUCGAGCGGCCGACGUCUGAUUAGCUAGUAGGUGAGGUAAAGGCUCACCUAGGCGACGAUUAGUAGCGGGUCUGAGAGGAUGAUCCGCCACACUGGGACUGAGACACGGCCCAGACUCCUGCGGGAGGCAGCAGUGGGGAAUUUUGGACAAUGGGCGAAAGCCUGAUCCAGCCAUGCCGCGUGUCUGAAGAAGGCCUUCGGGUUGUAAAGGACUUUUGUCGGGGAGGAAAUCCCCAGCGUUAAUACCGCUGGGGGAUGACAGUACCUGAAGAAUAAGCACCGGCUAACUACGUGCCAGCCGCCGCCGUAACAC